GGUGACAUAUUCAUCUUAAAGUAAAACAAUUGAGCGUGAAUGCUCUUUUUUUUCCCAGGCCGAGACCCUUGGGUGCACCGCUAUAGCUCCAAGAAAAGAAAUUGUUUUUCCCGUUCCAGCUAAGCUAAAAGUAAAAUGUGUUUCUUCUCUCUAAUUAAAAGUAAAUGAUUCCCUUAUCUAAACAACAUUAAUCAUCUNNNN
rnacentral:lncRNA from 1 species